AACCCUAGGCAGGGGAUCACUCGGCUCAUGGAUCGAUGAAGACCGCAGCUAAAUGCGCGUCAGAAUGUGAACUGCAGGGACAACAAUGAACACCGACACGUUGAACGCAUAUGGCGCAUCGGACGUUUAAACCCGACCGAUGCACACAUUCUUGAGUGCCU